UACGGAGGGUGCAAGCGUUAUCCGGAUUUAUUGGGUUUAAAGGGUACGUAGGCGGUAUUAUAAGUCAGUGGUGAAAUCCUUCAGCUUAACUGAAGACCUGCCAUUGAUACUGUAGUACUUGAAUACUCUUGAGGUAGGCGGAAUAUGUAGUGUAGCGGUGAAAUGCUUAGAUAUUACAUAGAACACCGAUUGCGAAGGCAGCUUACUAAGGAGUUAUUGACGCUGAUGUACGAAAGCGUGGGUAGCGAACAGG
rnacentral:rRNA from 1 species